CUUAAGUCACGCCGUCUGUCAACUCGUAGACAUGAGGAAUGCAGAUGACGUCGUUUCGAGAGAGAUGGAACCAGGUGUUGCACCCGAGCCGAGCAGUGCAGGUGCUCCGCUCCUAGCAGAAGAGAACGUGGAACAAGAAAGUACGUAUCUUUAAUGUAGAAUGUAUUGU